rnacentral:rRNA from 1 species
GAUGACCUCUGGCGGCGUGCCUAACACAUGCAAGUCGAGCGAAGCGCUGUUUUCAGAAUCUUCGGAGGAAGAGGACAGUGACUGAGCGGCGGACGGGUGAGUAACGCGUGGGCAACCUGCCUCAUACGGGGGGAUAACAGUUAGAAAUGACUGCUAAUACCGCAUAAGCGCACAGGACCGCAUGGUGUAGUGUGAAAAACUCCGGUGGUAUGAGAUGGACCCGCGUCUGAUUAGGUAGUUGGUGGGGUAAAGGCCUACCAAGCCGACGAUCAGUAGCCGACCUGAGAGGGUGACCGGCCACAUUGGGACUGAGACACGGCCCAAACUCCUACGGGAGGCAGCAGUGGGGAAUAUUGCACAAUGGGGGAAACCCUGAUGCAGCGACGCCGCGUGAAGGAAGAAGUAUUUCGGUAUGUAAACUUCUAUCAGCAGGGAAGAAGAUGACGGUACCUGAGUAAGAAGCACCGGCUAAAUACGUGCCAGCAGCCGCGGUAAUACGUAUGGUGCAAGCGUUAUCCGGAUUUACUGGGUGUAAAGGGAGCGUAGACGGAUAGGCAAGUCUGGAGUGAAAACCCAGGGCUCAACCCUGGGACUGCUUUGGAAACUGCAGAUCUGGAGUGCCGGAGAGGUAAGCGGAAUUCCUAGUGUAGCGGUGAAAUGCGUAGAUAUUAGGAGGAACACCAGUGGCGAAGGCGGCUUACUGGACGGUGACUGACGUCGGGGCUCGAAAGCGUGGGGAGCAAACAAGAUUAGAUACCCUGGUAGUCCACGCCGUAAACGACCCUAAAAGGGUGUCGGUGUGCAAAGCACAUCGGUGCCCCCAGCAAACGCAAAUAAGUAGUCCACCUGGGGGAGUACGUUCCAAAGAAUGAAACUCAAAGGAAUGACCGGGGACCCGCCCAAGCGGGGGAGCAUGGGGUUUAAUUCGAAGCAACGCGAAGAACCUUACCUGGUCUUGACAUCCGGAUGACGGGCGAGUAAUGUCGCCGUCCCUUCGGGGCAUCCGAGACAGGUGGUGCAUGGUUGUCGUCAGCUCGUGUCGUGAGAUGUUGGGUUAAGUCCCGCAACGAGCGCAACCCUUAUCUUCAGUAGCCAGCAUAUAAGGUGGGCACUCUGGAGAGACUGCCAGGGAGAACCUGGAGGAAGGUGGGGAUGACGUCAAAUCAUCAUGCCCCUUAUGGCCAGGGCUACACACGUGCUACAAUGGCGUAAACAAAGGGAAGCGAGAGGGUGACCUGAAGCGAAUCCCAAAAAUAACGUCUCAGUUCGGAUUGUAGUCUGCAACUCGACUACAUGAAGCUGGAAUCGCUAGUAAUCGCGGAUCAGCAUGCCGCGGUGAAUACGUUCCCGGGUCUUGCACA